AAAAUAGAAGCCGGGGGAUUUAUCGAGUUGAAGCUUCUUUUCCACAAUCUGCCAAUUGAAGGUAGACUUCGCAAGGGAAUCGAGAUACCAAAGGGAAGGAAGUGUAGAGAAUUAAUCAAUUGAGGUUGAGCGGCGACGAGCAGUUGGUGGUGUUGAGCAAUUUAAAAUUGAAGCAUGGUUGGUUAGUUGUGAACUACGAGUGUCGUUGUGUCUCCACACAUGACGUCACUCUUUUUCUUGAACGCUUCCGCUGAGACAUUGUCGUUACUCACCAUUCUUUUAGCGUUGAACCUAAUUAUUUGGAUAACGUCGACCU